CAAAUAGAAUCUACUAAUACUAAUAUGCGGAUAUGCAAAUGAGCUCCGAACAAAAGAUCCACACCGCACGGCGGUUCAACCCCUUUUUCUCCCCGAAGGGCAGAGCGGAUCUUCCCCGGCAAGGUCUCAAAUCGAAGCUAGAUAAUUGAUUUGCUAUCAUAAAGGUAUAAUGUUUUUUUUCCUGCCUUGUUUCUCGAGAUAUUUGGCGUUUUCUGAGGCAUCGUCUCGAUCACCGUUAAUGCUCUCCGUGGUCUUUGUCCCGUGUUUCUAAAGGUUCUUUCUCUCUCUUUUCUCUUACUCUCUGCAAAAGAUUGCCACACCGCCCGGCGGUUCAACCCCUUUAUCUCCCCGAAGGGCAGAGCGGAUUUUCCCCGGCAAGGUCUCAAAUCGAAGCUAGAUAAUUGAUUUGCUAUCGUAAAGAUAUAACGUUUUUUUUGCUGCCUUUUUUCUCGAGAUAUUUGGCGUUUUCUGAAGCAUCGUCUCGAUCACCGUUAGUGCUCUCCGUGGUCUUUGUCCCGUGUUUCUAAAGGUUCUUUCUCUCUCUUUUCUCUUACUCUCUGCAAAAGAUUGCCACACCGCACGGCGGUUCAACCCCUUUAUCUCCCCGAAGGGCAGAGCGGAUCUUCCCCGGCAAGGUCUCAAAUCGAAGCUAGAUAAUUGAUUUGCUAUCAUAAAGGUAUAACGUUUUUUUCCUGCCUUUUUUCUCGAGAUAUUUGGCGUUUUCUGAGGCAUCGUCUCGAUCACCAUUAGUGCUCUCCGUGGUCUUUGUCCCGCGUUUCUGAAGGUCCUUUCUCUCUCUUUUCUCUUGCUCUCUACAAAAGAUUUCAAAACUUUUUCCUCCAGCAACCCUUCAAUUUGAACGGAGGCUUUUCAAAUUCGUUUCGCUUUCCACAAAGGAUCCAUUGGAUUUUUCGUAGUUAGAGGAGAGGAUAGCUAAUAAUAAAUCUACGUGCACUGCUGCUUGGCAUUCCUUUUCGAACUCGAAGCGAUCCUCGACGGUCGUGGUCUGUGCUACAGCUUAAGGCUUCAGUCAUUAGUAGCUGCUCUCGAUCUCAGCUACGUACGUACGGUACACACGCUGCUGCCCGUUUUUUUGGUUCUGCGAUGGCUGCUGGCUGUUCCCCUUCUUCACUGGCAUCAGAAUCGAUGGCAACCGAAUACAGAUGAACGAUCGGAUUCGCUGACUUUUUGGUACAACAAAUCAAAGAUCGUUUCAAGCAAUAAUUAUGACGCAGACGUGAUCCUCAACCCCUUCGAAACGAAAUUUAUGGCAUUUAUGCUGGCGUAAAUCGAACAAAGAAACAAGAAAAAACCAUGACUGUGGAGAAAAUUACUAAAUCUGUGAAGAUUAGCAGUUGUCCAUGAAUUGUAUUUUGUUAAUUUGUUGUUUGAGUAAGAAUCCUUUCUGAUGCACGAAACUUUUGCUGUUUUCUAUCUCUCAAUUUCUUAAGUGCUUUGUUGCUGUAGUGUUUUAAAAGCUAAUUGUGACGAAGAUAUGAUACCAGGCCCUCAAAUGAAAUAACUGUGUAAUUAUUUUAAUUCUUUGGAGUUUAGAUCAGAAAUCGUUAACAUUUUUUAUGAAUCAACAUACUUUUUUAGGAAUUUUUAUUCUUAAGAAAUUUUCAGAUGAUGUUUGUCUAAACGAGCACCAUGGACCAAUAACGGCUAACAGGAAUAUUGUGUUGGAAAAUUUUAAUAUUUGAUUCAGAAUAAACAGGGAGCUUUGAGGGUGGCCCGCAAUUAUGUCUUAAAACAGCAUCACAAGUGAACAAAGAUUGAACGAAGUGCUUUAAAAUGAACAUUACAGCUCUAAGAAUGACCUUAGAAAAUAUUUAAAAAAAGCCCCUUUAAGUCGACAAGGGCUAAGAGUGUACGACUAGAAAAUUUUAAAAUUUGUUGGAGAACUUUAAAAUUUGAUUCUGACUAAAUAGGAGAACUUUUAGGAAUAACCCAUGAAAUUAUGUCAACGAGGAUUAAUAAUUGGUGGGGGCAGGCAGAAGCAUGUUGUUGUCAAGCUUUAAAGUAGAAUUCAGAAUAAUAGGCAGAGCUUUUAGAUAAGCCUGCAAAGUAUUUCAACGAUUCAUCAAGAGAUAAAAAAAGAUGGACACUUAAAAACAUUGCAAUUAGAAUAAACAGGAGAAAUGAAGAGGGUAACACGUGAAAAUAUUUAAACGAGGACCACGAAUAGACCGGGGCUUGCAAAAUGUUUUUAAACAACUUUCAACCCUGCCUCUACAUGACAAAUGUAAUGUAUCAAAUUGAAAGAAUGCACAUUUCGAUUAACAGAAGACUAGCUCCCCUACGAAGCCCGCUACGCGGGCUUGCCAGUGGCCCUACGGUUGAAUAUUAAGAUUAGCCUUGGAAAGACAAGAGUGGCCCUACAGUUGAAUAUUGAGAUUAGCCUUGGAAAGACAAGAGUGCCAUAAACCUCGAUUCCAAAAUGAGAAGAGGUCACGUGAUAAAAAAAUUGCUUGCACUCCUGUGCGAAUUAAAUUCACACUUUUGUGACUAUCGCUAGGAAGGGGGGAGCCUCAACCCCAUCUUUCUUUUAAGGCUCCCCCCUUCCUAGCGAUAGUCACAAAAGUGUGAAUUUAAUUCGCACAGGAGUGCAAGCAAUUUUUUUAUCACGUGACCUCUUCUCAUUUUGGAAUCGAGGUUUAUGGCACUCUUGUCUUUCCAAGGCUAAUCUCAAUAUUCAACUGUAGGGCCACUCUUGUCUUUCCAAGGCUAAUCUUAAUAUUCAACCGUAGGGCCACUGGCAAGCCCGCGUAGCGGGCUUCGUA